AUGAACGCUGGCGGCGUGCCUAAUACCUGCCCGUCGAGCGCACGGACGAGAAGCUUGCUUCUCUGAUGUUAGCGGCGGACGGGUGAGUAACACGUGGAUAACCUACCUAUAAGACUGGGAUAACUUCGGGAAACCGGAGCUAAUACCGGAUAAUAUUUUGAACCGCCUGGUUCAAAAGUGAAAGACGGUCUUGCUGUCACUUAUAGAUGGAUCCGCGCUGCAUUAGCUAGUUGGUAAGGUAACGGCUUACCAAGGCAACGAUGCAUAGCCGACCUGAGAGGGUGAUCGGCCACACUGGAACUGAGACACGGUCCAGACUCCUACGGGAGGCAGCAGUAGGGAAUCUUCCGCAAUGGGCGAAAGCCUGACGGAGCAACGCCGCGUGAGUGAUGAAGGUCUUCGGAUCGUAAAACUCUGUUAUUAGGGAAGAACAUAUGUGUAAGUAACUGUGCACAUCUUGACGGUACCUAAUCAGAAAGCCACGGCUAACUACGUG
rnacentral:rRNA from 1 species